rnacentral:pre_miRNA from 1 species
AGUUCAAUUUCUGUGUCAUAUAGUAGUUCUGUGUUUAGUUUUAUAAGACACUGCCAAACUGUUUUCCAGAGUGGCUACACCAUUUUACAUUUCCACCAGCAAU